UACGUAGGGGGCUAGCGUUGUCCGGAAUCAUUGGGCGUAAAGCGCGUGUAGGCGGCCCGAUAAGUCCGCUGUAAAAGUCCAGGGCUCAACCCUGGAAAGCCGGUGGAUACUGUCGGGCUAGAGUCCGGAAGAGGCGAGUGGAAUUCCUGGUGUAGCGGUGAAAUGCGCAGAUAUCAGGAGGAACACCGGUGGCGAAGGCGGGUCUCUGGGCCGAAAUUGACGCUGAGGAGCGAAAGCGUGGGGAGCAAACAGG
rnacentral:rRNA from 1 species